AUACUUACCUGGACGGGGUCAAUGGGCGAUCAUCAAGGCUCAUGGCCUAGGCUAGUGGCUUCCAUUGCACUUGGGAAGGGCGCGCGCCUAAGGUCUCCCCAAGUGGGAGAGUCUACGUCAUUAUUUGUGACAGUGGGGGCCUGCGUUCGCGCGACCCCCGA